AUCUUCAGGGUCGGGUGAAAGUCCCAACUGGCGGUAAAGUCCGCGACCUGUCUUCUGCAGUGGCAGAGGAUGGCUGAACCGGUGAUCUGCAGAUCAGAGAUUCCGGUACCAACAGUAAAGUCUGGAUGAAAGAAGAUG
rnacentral:ncRNA from 1 species